rnacentral:rRNA from 1 species
GACGAACGCUGGCGGCGUGCCUAAUACAUGCAAGUUGAGCGCUGAAGGUUGGUACUUGUACCGACUGGAUGAGCAGCGAACGGGUGAGUAACGCGUGGGGAAUCUGCCUUUGAGCGGGGGACAACAUUUGGAAACGAAUGCUAAUACCGCAUAAAAACUUUAAACACAAGUUUUAAGUUUGAAAGAUGCAAUUGCAUCACUCAAAGAUGAUCCCGCGUUGUAUUAGCUAGUUGGUGAGGUAAAGGCUCACCAAGGCGAUGAUACAUAGCCGACCUGAGAGGGUGAUCGGCCACAUUGGGACUGAGACACGGCCCAAACGCCUACGGGAGGCAGCAGUAGGGAAUCUUCGGCAAUGGACGAAAGUCUGACCGAGCAACGCCGCGUGAGUGAAGAAGGGUUUCGGAUCGUAAAACUCUGUUGGUAGAGAAGAACGUUGGUGAGAGUGGAAAGCUCAUCAAGUGACGGUAACUACCCAGAAAGGGACGGCUAACGACG